rnacentral:rRNA from 1 species
CAUGCAGUCGAGGGGUAUAGGUUUUCGGACCUAGAGACCGGCGCACGGGUGCGUAACGCGUAUGCAAUCUACCUUUCACAGAGGGAUAGCCCAGAGAAAUUUGGAUUAAUACCUCAUAGUAUAGCAGUUUCGCAUGAAACCACUAUUAAAGUCACAACGGUGAAAGAUGAGCAUGCGUCCCAUUAGCUAGUUGGUAAGGUAACGGCUUACCAAGGCAACGAUGGGUAGGGGUCCUGAGAGGGAGAUCCCCCACACUGGUACUGAGACACGGACCAGACUCCUACGGGAGGCAGCAGUGAGGAAUAUUGGACAAUGGGCGCAAGCCUGAUCCAGCCAUGCCGCGUGCAGGAUGACGGUCCUAUGGAUUGUAAACUGCUUUUGUACAGGAAGAAACACCUCUACGUGUAGAGACUUGACGGUACUGUAAGAAUAAGGAUCGGCUAACUCCGUGCCAGCAGCCGCGGUAAUACGGAGGAUCCAAGCGUUAUCCGGAAUCAUUGGGUUUAAAGGGUCCGUAGGCGGUCAGAUAAGUCAGUGGUGAAAGCCCAUCGCUCAACGGUGGAACGGCCAUUGAUACUGUCUGACUUGAAUUAUUAGGAAGUAACUAGAAUAUGUAGUGUAGCGGUGAAAUGCUUAGAGAUUACAUGGAAUACCAAUUGCGAAGGCAGGUUACUACUAAUGGAUUGACGCUGAUGGACGAAAGCGUGGGUAGCGAACAGGAUUAGAUACCCUGGUAGUCCACGCCGUAAACGAUGGAUACUAGCUGUUGGGCGCAAGUUCAGUGGCUAAGCGAAAGUGAUAAGUAUCCCACCUG